rnacentral:rRNA from 1 species
CAACUUUCAACAACGGAUCUCUUGGCUCUCGCAUCGAUGAAGAACGCAGCAAAAUGCGACAAGUAAUGUGAAUUGCAGAUUUUCAGUGAAUCAUCGAAUCUUUGAACGCACCUUGCGCUCCUUGGUAUUCCGAGGAGCAUGCCUGUUUGAGUGUCAUUA